CCUACGGGUGGCAGCAGUCGAGAAUCAUUCACAAUGGGGGAAACCCUGAUGGUGCGACGCCGCGUGGGGGAAUGAAGGUCUUCGGAUUGUAAACCCCUGUCAUGUGGGAGCAAAUUAAAAAGAUAGUACCACAAGAGGAAGAGACGGCUAACACUGUGCCAGCAGCCGCGGUAAUACAGAGGUCUCAAGCGUUGUUCGGAAUCACUGGGCGUAAAGCGUGCGUAGGCUGUUUCGUAAGUCGUGUGUGAAAGGCGCGGGCUCAACCCGCGGACGGCACAUGAUACUGCGAGACUAGAGUAAGGGAGGGGGAACCGGAAUUCUCGGUGUAGCAGUGAAAUGCGUAGAUAUCGAGAGGAACACUCGUGGCGAAGGCGGGUUCCUGGACAUUAACUGACGCUGAGGCACGAAGGCCAGGGGAGCGAAAGGGAUUAGAUACCCCUGUAGUC
rnacentral:rRNA from 1 species